AAACAGGCCAUCUCGGCCCUACAACUCCAUGCCGAACAAUUAGUCUCCUGCUUGAUUCCAACAUCCUGCCAAUCGACCUCUAUUGCCGAAGGUCAAUGGCAACCUUGAUAUGUAUCUCACCCUAAUUUGUCCCAAACUAACGUGUGUGGGUUAACGUCGUGCUGAUAUCGUAUUAAUCACACACUGAGUCGUUUGUUUAUCGUCCGACAAUUCGCGGUGAGUGGAUGGAUCCUGACACUAACACUCGACCAGUCACACGGUGAGCAGCGCGUGUCUGACAUUAACCGGAUUCA